AGCGAACGCUGGCGGCAUGCCUAACACAUGCAAGUCGAGCGCUCCCAGCAAUGGGGGAGCGGCGGACGGGUGAGUAACGCGUAGGAACGUAUCCUGAGGUGGGGGAUAACCCUGGGAAACUAGGGCUAAUACCGCAUGAUGGCGAGAGCCCAAAGAUUUAUCGCCUUGGGAGCGGCCUGCGUCUGAUUAGCUUGUUGGUGGGGUAACGGCCUACCAAGGCGAUGAUCAGUAGCUGGUCUGAGAGGAUGAUCAGCCACACUGGGACUGAGACACGGCCCAGACUCCUACGGGAGGCAGCAGUGGGGAAUAUUGGACAAUGGGCGAAAGCCUGAUCCAGCAAUGCCGCGUGGAUGAAGAAGGUCUUCGGAUUGUAAAGUCCUUUCGGCGGGGACGAUGAUGACGGUACCCGCAGAAGAAGCCCCGGCUAACUUCGUGCCAGCAGCCGCGGUAAGGCACGACUGU
rnacentral:rRNA from 1 species